UGUGGUGUUAACCAAAUAGAAGCUAGUUAUGUCUUUUAAGAAUUCUGUAAAUGGUGGUUUUGUUAUCGUAUUUGAAACAUUUAUAAUUAUGAUUUUCUACUAAAUUUCUGAAUUUACAUAUUUGUGUUUGAGAUAUAGAUUUAUUUGUAUUGGUUCAGGAUUCAAAAUUUAGAAUAGAGUGAAUCGACUUGGAUAAGAUAGGGAUGGCGUAAUCCUUGCGAUUUGACAAAGACUCCUCCAUC
rnacentral:lncRNA from 1 species